rnacentral:rRNA from 1 species
ACUCCUACGGGAGGCAGCAGUGGGGAAUAUUGCACAAUGGGCGCAAGCCUGAUGCAGCCAUCCCGCGUGUAUGAAGAAGGCCUUCGGGUUGUAAAGUACUUUCAGCGGGGAGGAAGGCAAUACGGUUAAUAACCGUGUUGAUUGACGUUACCCGCAGAAGAAGCACCGGCUAACCCCGUGCCAGCAGCCGCGGUAAUACGGAGGGUGCAAGCGUUAAUCGGAAUUACUGGGUGUAAAGCGCACGCAGGCGGUCUGUCAAGUCGGAUGUGAAAUCCCCGGGCUCAACCUGGGAACUGCAUUCGAAACUGGCAGGCUUGAGUCUUGUAGAGGGGGGUAGAAUUCCAGGUGUAGCGGUGAAAUGCGUAGAGAUCUGGAGGAAUACCGGUGGCGAAGGCGGCCCCCUGGACAAAGACUGACGCUCAGGUGCGAAAGCGUGGGGAGCAAACAGGAUUAGAUACCCCGGUAGUCCCA